rnacentral:rRNA from 1 species
GAUGAACGCUGGCGGCGUGCCUAAUACAUGCAAGUCGAGCGAACGGACGAGAAGCUUGCUUCUCUGAUGUUAGCGGCGGACGGGUGAGUAACACGUGGAUAACCUACCUAUAAGACUGGGAUAACUUCGGGAAACCGGAGCUAAUACCGGAUAAUAUUUUGAACCGCAUGGUUCAAAAGUGAAAGACGGUCUUGCUGUCACUUAUAGAUGGAUCCGCGCUGCAUUAGCUAGUUGGUAAGGUAACGGCUUACCAAGGCAACGAUGCAUAGCCGACCUGAGAGGGUGAUCGGCCACACUGGAACUGAGACACGGUCCAGACUCCUACGGGAGGCAGCAGUAGGGAAUCUUCCGCAAUGGGCGAAAGCCUGACGGAGCAACGCCGCGUGAGUGAUGAAGGUCUUCGGAUCGUAAAACUCUGUUAUUAGGGAAGAACAUAUGUGUAAGUAACUGUGCACAUCUUGACGGUACCUAAUCAGAAAGCCACGGCUAACUACGUGCCAGCAGCCGCGGUAAUACGUAGGUGGCAAGCGUUAUCCGGAAUUAUUGGGCGUAAAGCGCGCGUAGGCGGUUUUUUAAGUCUGAUGUGAAAGCCCACGGCUCAACCGUGGAGGGUUAUUGGAAACUGGAAAACUUGAGUGCAGAAGAGGAAAGUGGAAUUCCAUGUGUAGCGGUGAAAUGCGCAGAGAUAUGGAGGAACACCAGUGGCGAAGGCGACUUUCUGGUCUGUAACUGACGCUGAUGUGCGAAAGCGUGGGGAUCAAACAGGAUUAGAUACCCUGGUAGUCCACGCCGUAAACGAUGAGUGCUAAGUGUUAGGGGGUUUCCGCCCCUUAGUGCUGCAGCUAACGCAUUAAGCACUCCGCCUGGGGAGUACGACCGCAAGGUUGAAACUCAAAGGAAUUGACGGGGACCCGCACAAGCGGUGGAGCAUGUGGUUUAAUUCGAAGCAACGCGAAGAACCUUACCAAAUCUUGACAUCCUUUGACAACUCUAGAGAUAGAGCCUUCCCCUUCGGGGGACAAAGUGACAGGUGGUGCAUGGUUGUCGUCAGCUCGUGUCGUGAGAUGUUGGGUUAAGUCCCGCAACGAGCGCAACCCUUAAGCUUAGUUGCCAUCAUUAAGUUGGGCACUCUAAGUUGACUGCCGGUGACAAACCGGAGGAAGGUGGGGAUGACGUCAAAUCAUCAUGCCCCUUAUGAUUUGGGCUACACACGUGCUACAAUGGACAAUACAAAGGGCAGCGAAACCGCGAGGUCAAGCAAAUCCCAUAAAGUUGUUCUCAGUUCGGAUUGUAGUCUGCAACUCGACUACAUGAAGCUGGAAUCGCUAGUAAUCGUAGAUCAGCAUGCUACGGUGAAUACGUUCCCGGGUCU